ACAUAGGCCAGGAUACGCCGGUCAAGCUGGAACGCGAUCUCCCCAACGAUUCGGCCAUCCUUCUCAGUACCCGAAAAACUCUGGAUCUCUGGAUGCUGUUCUGCCACCCCACCAACUCAGCCUUCUCUGAGGACAGCAGGAGACAUCACAGCCUGGAUCUGGAAAGAGCCAGCCUCUUCCAGUCUACAUCAUUGCCACCAAAGACAGGCCAAUGUCUGAAAGGAUGUCUGGGUCAUAUGAUCUUUUGAGGAUAUGGCGCUGGAAUAGCUUCUACAAGCAAACCUCACACCACAGACAAAACCCCAAACACGUGAUCCUAGUCAGAGACCUAAAUCCAAAGCCUAAAGCUACGAGACUCUAAAAGAUUAAAGAGCAUCUAUAACCUUGGGCUUCACAGAGACUUCCUAAAGUAGACACCCAAAAGCACAGACUGUAAAAGAAAGCUUUCAGGAAAUUCUACAUGACUAUAUUCAAGUUUCACCCUGCCCCCAGCCAAACAGUAGACAGUGGGUAACUCUCAGGCUGGGAGGCAAUACCGAAGAAACAUAAUCCCAGAAGGACUUAGAUAUGAAACCGCAUGAAAAAAAAUUUUUUUCAGCUAAAUAUCAAGGAUGAGCAUCUCCACGUUUUUUCAAAAGGCCAAGACAGACCUAAUCCUGGACCCAGGCCCACCCUAGCUCCUCCCACUCUUCACCACUGGAGAAGCUAGCCAGAGCCAAGUCUUUAAAACGUGGUUUCCCCACCCAGGGCCACCUGUGUGUACCAUACCAUUGAGGUAAUAGGUCCUCCUGCUCCUAUCCCCAGUGGGGAGGUUACUCUCCGAGAAGCACACCUUCUUAGGUCUCGAGAUUUCCCUGGGCUCAAGCAGGGUUUUGUCAGCCAGGGAGUCCUGCAAGGGACUCAGGAGCGGGGACAGCUUCCUGUCGGCAAUCCGAGCGUGUAGUUCU